GACGCCUUGGUGAAUAAAACCUCACCAAUUCCCUUCUGUGCCCCCGUGAUGAGCUUAUAGGCAGCCACAAGGUCGCCUCUUAGCCUUCUCUUGCGGAGGCUGAAGAGGUCCAGUUUCUCUAGUCUCUCAUCGUAGGGCUUGGUCUGCAGGCCCUUAACCAUAUGAGUGGCCCUUCUCUGGACCCUCUCCAGGUUAUCCGCAUCCCUCUUGAAUUGCGGCACCCAGAAUUGCACGCAGUACUCCAACUGCGGUCUGACCAGUGCCUGAUAGAGGGGAAGUAUCACCUCCUUGGAUCUAUUCAUCAUGCAUCUGCUGAUGCAUGAUAAAGUGCCGUUGGCUUUUCUGAUGGCUUCGUCACACUGCUGAAUCAGUUAGCUAUGUGCUUGCUGCAAAUUGGAGCAGAAAGCAGAUUUAAUAAUAAUGUGUAAUUAUUAUUAUUAUAAAGGUAAUUAUAUGUUUCUCUUUGGCCAAAUUCUCCUUGCGGUCUAGGAACUGUGAGCAUAUGGGGCAAAGAGAUGAGGUGGUAUGGUGGGGGGCAGGGUAUGUUUGACCUCUGCAAUGCCCCACGCCUAACCCCAGGCAGAGGGGAGACCUAGCACCCUGCUGGCUCAGCUCCGAAGGCAGGCACUCAGGAAGGUCAGAGAUGCUCCAAACAGAUGCUCUAGACGGACUCUCUUGCCGCAGUCCACUGAAGUCCUCCUUGCAGCUUGAUUCCCACCCCCUCCCUGCCUGCUCUGCAAUGUGUAGGAGGAGAGGAAGGAGCUUCCCAGCCAAGGAUUUAGACUCCCAAGGGCAUUCUCUACCCAGGAGGGAGCAAUUACAAGACAGGUAAUAUUCUGGGUUUGCGCUACCAGCCAGUUCCCUUUAACACAAACAGUGUUCAGGAGAAUCGAUUUUUCAUCAUUUUAGGCAGCAUUGGCAAAAGGCAAACUGCACAAAUCUUCACGUUCUCCAAGAGACUUGCAGCUUUCAACAAAAAUGUUUACAGCCCGCAAAUAUUCCUCUGACAGCAGUGAUUCCAAAGUGACGAACUCGACCGCAUUCUGAUUUUCAUAUUCAGUCUCCUCUUUUGGGGAACCAAGUGCUUAGAAAAUGUUUGGGGGAACUGGAACCUUGCCCACUGUAUAGUUAGUUUAGGCCUGGGAGUCGCUGCCAGUGCUCCAAAGAGUAUGAGGCUGUUGCUGAUGGGCCAAUUCUCUUAGAAAAGUCAGAGGAAGAUGCAUUGGCAAAAUUAGGAAGCUAACCAGCGGCUCCAUCAUAAAAUGUAUAAUGUGUAUGCUGUGUGUCACACAAAUCCAGAUAAAUAUGUCACCAGGGGGUGGCAAUUUUAAAUCUAACUUAAAAGUUUAGAGAAGCAAUAAGUGCCUUCUGAGUAAGCCCUUCAAUAGAAGGUAAUGGCUGGGUUUAGCACCUUCUGGUUUGGUUUUGGGGUUUUUUAGCAACUGCUCUUAUAUAAUGCCUGUGCAUGGCUCCUACAACCCGCUCACCCAGGUCAUGACAUUUCAUUUCCCAAAAGCUCCACAUGGCAUAGCAUCCUUGUUGCAGGGCACCUCGGUGCCCCUGCUCCUAUAGAGGAGAAACUGCCAGGGAGCGAGUGACCGCACCCUGGCCUGACAUAACGAGCCCAGCUGAGGCUUGCUCAGGUAAUGAGCGCAGCUGCGGGUUGCCGGAGCAACCAAGUGGAGCCAGCUGCCUGUAGGGGGCAGGGCCUGGCCCUUAUAAAGCUCAGGGCUGAGGCCAGGCUGUCAGUUCUCUGCCAGUAGCCUGGGAGGCAGGAGCUCUGAGAGUGAGGAUGUGGCAAGUACAGCUCAUGAUAGCCCUGAGAGGAUGGGCACUAGAGUUUAGCCAUACAGCUUGCAUUUGUGUUACAGCCUAGGGGCUUGUGGUUUUGUGUUGUGUUAUUACACCCGGAGGCUUGGGCGAGGCUGUAGGGGUUGGAGGAGGCCUCAAUUACUUGCACGCCAGUGUGUGAGCAGCUGGCGGCGAGGAGCGCAGCCAGUGGGUCACGGGCGCAACCCGUAGGUUGCGGGCGGGGACCGAGACCCCUGAUAGCGUGUGGGGGAACAUAGCCCCCUGACCCCAGGAAAGGGGUGGUAUUACGGAGUAGCCCAGUGUGGGCGCAGUGAGCCCCAGAGAGGGGGAAUGCCAUUGUGUAUUAUUGAGCAGCCCAGUGUGGGUGUGGCGAGCCCCAGAGAGGGGGAACGCCAUUGUGCUUUGUUGAGUAGCCCAGUGUGGGCGCACGGGCAUAUCGAGCCCAGCCGCAGGCUAGUGCAGCAAUCCCCCUCAGACCAAGGCAGGGCGCUGCGGUUGCCCCUGAGAAGACAGGGAGUAGCAGCGCGGGGAGCCAGAGUCAGGGAGGGUAUCCGUGCGGUUGGCCCAUAGGACCAGAGGCCCGCUGGAGAGUCCUGGAGCGGAACCACACCGGCAGGGGAGGCCCAGAGUGGGCCAGACAAGAGUCCCAGCAAGAGGCUGGGCAUGAGAGAGGGAGCCCAGGGUGGGCCACAGUAGAGACAGACCGGACAACGUCCUUUACAUCUGCGAGGCUUGGGGCAUGGUAUUAGGGGCUGGUAGGAGCCACGCAUAGCCCAUAAGGCUAGGGCGCUUGGGUAGCGCCCAUUGUACGGGGAGACCCACGAAGGGUCCAGGAGCUGACAGGCCCGAGGAAACACAAGGCAGCCUCCCUAUUACAUCAAGAUGUGGUGGGCGAGAAUGGAGGGUGCCCUCGGGCCGGAGUAGCGUGGUGAGAGGGCCUCAAGGAGAUCACGGCCCUCCGUGAGGACCCCGCCGUGACAAUCCUAUUUUCAGGACCAUCUUAAACACUUUUUCAUCUGGGCAAAUGGAGGCAAAUCCUGUAAUGCUGGUUCCUACUGGCUUGUGCAAUGUGAUAGAUCGCGGCCAGGGCGAUGCUACACUGAUUGCUUCUAGCAGAAGAUCUGAGCAGGGCUGGGUUCCCUCUGAGCCACUGAUGCACAACAAAGUACAGACCCUUAGGAACGCUGGUAGGAGACAGAUCGGUAUUCCCACAUGCUGAUUAGAACGGCAUAUGUCUUAUCACAGAGCAUGUUGACUCCAGAAGUGUCUGUUAAACCACCAGGGCAUUUGGUCCUGUUAGACACAGCUUCUGUAAUUGCCCUUUAUUUCUCUGCAUAGACCUGGAUGCUGGUGGUUUUCUGAGGAGGAUCGUGGUGGGUUUAUUUGUGCUGCCAUUGGUAGCUGUGUCUCUUGUUACAUAUCUCCUUACAAGUGCAACAGUGCCUCAGCACCAGGCGCAGAGUCCAUCCUGUGACUAGGGAUGGCAUGAGGUAUAUGCAUUGUGCAUGUGGCAUCUGUUAGACUUAUGCCCGCCCUAUGCCUGGCGUGACCCAUCCUGUUAAUGUAAGCAUCCUACCCCUGCUAGGUCAGGAUGUCUAUCAGGACUAUGUUUGUGUUCUAACCAAUGACUGCGGCUGCGGCUACAUGAGACACUGACUGUGCAGUCAUUUAGUACUUGUAUAAACAAGAACUAAAUGAUUGCACAGUAACCUGAGUUACUGCAGUAGCACCGACAAAUGACUUUUUUGUGAUGCUCCUGCACAGUAGCUGAAUACUGCUGCGUAGUAGUGUUGCAUCACAGUUGUUGCCAUGUGACACUAUUGCAUAGUAGUAUCAGGCUACUGCGCAGUCAGCGUCUCGUGUAGAUGCAGCCCGUAUAACACAAAAUGCAUAAACAAACUGGGGGUAGGGACUGAAACGCAGAGCUUUUUCCUUCAUCGGUGGGUGGGCCCAAACCACUAGGUCAGAGUUUCUCAACCUGUGGGUCACGAGCCAAAAGUGGGUCACAAGAACAUAUGAAAGGGUCGCGAACAAACUUAAAAAAUGGAUCAACGAACUUUAAAAAUGGACUCUCCUUUGCAGGAGAAAGAAGUGGGAAACUGUGGGUUUUCCCUUGCGGGCUGGCAGAGUUCCAGCCUGCAAGGGGCUGCUUGGGGCCCUCCUGCCCCACAAACACCCACCCUCUGCCCCACAUCCUCUCCCUGCCCCACACUGCAUAGCUGGGGCCUGGGAGUGAGGGGCAGCAGGUUGGGAGUGAGGGGGCUGUCUUCUAUUAAACUAUUUUCUGGUCCAGGACUGGACAUCAACAUUUACAAAUGGGUCCUGGAACAGAAAAGGUUGAGAACCACUGCACUAGGUUACAGAUUCACAUUCCUUCUUGCUUGCUCUGUACCCAUCCCUAUAAUCUUGGGGCCCUUAGCAGUACAUUAGCCUUCCUUCAAAGGGAAGUGGAUACCUCUCCUAGCCUACCCAAUGUAUUGUCUGGUCCCUAGGGCUCUCUCCUGGGAAAUGUCAUGAGAUUUGAAUCCAGGCUGAAGAAGACCCUAAGCCUUAUUUCUUGGGUGAAUGCACUAAGCUAUUAUAUCAUAUCUAUUUAGCAUUUCCUAUUGGUCAACUCCAGGAAGCUCCUCACUCAACAGGCAGGUGUUUUGCCUACUCUUGCUAGGCACUCUGGGGAGUGGAGGCACUUCACUGUAAGAGAAGUAUUUUCUUGCAUACAACAUGCAGCUUUUCCCCCCCAAAUCAGCACCCGCACCCCUGAACUGGGGUUCACGUAUUAAGUGGAGAAGCUGAUUUUUUGCCUGAGCUAGAAGCAUCCUGGUUUGAUUCCUGCUCCACAGUGUAGCAGCGGUGGCAUUGCUAUUUAGAUGUCUGCUGAGGGAGACAGUUAACUUAAUGGCUCUUUGUUCCCCACUCCAGAGGUGUUAACUAUUGUCUCUCCUUUUUAAUCAUCUUGAUGUCCCACUAAUCAAGCUAACCUUUCUUAGGGCAAUUUUGCUGUCUGCUAGCUGCUCCUAGUAUCUCCCCCUAUUUCACAGACUCUUUAGCUCAGACUCUUUAUCCUUUCAACACAGAUCCUUUAGCUCUUUUCAAAAUCAUAGAUCCACCCAUGCAGAUAAGUCUUUAGCAGCAGCUAGGGAUUCACCUGUAGUUAAGCAAGAAAGGGAGGGUGAGUCACCUGAAGACUAGGUCCUGCCCCUGCUGUAUGCAGCCAGAACUCUGGAAAAAUCUUUUUCCCCCCCCCUUCAUUCUGCCUUUCAAAAACAAGGUGCAUCCUGUAUUCUGGGAUGCAUUGUGUGAGGAAAAUAUGGCAAGCCCUGGCACAUUCUGACUAGGGUUUUUCCUCUCAUACAUUUUUGGGGCUCGGUGACUACAAAUGAACUUCUUGCUUAGAACAAUAGUUCUCAACUGGGGUCCUGUGACACCCUGGGGUGUUGCAAAACCCUUUUGGGGGUUACAUGGCAUGACCAGGAAGGACUGCAACACAGUGCCCGCUUCUGCCUACGCUAGUGUUCUUUGAUAACCCUAAAGCAGGCAAGAGUCCCUGGUCCUGCCACAAGCCUUUCUAGUCUGACCCUACAUGGCAUCUCCUGGAAACACAGACACCGCAGGCAGGUGAAACUGUCUUGUGCACCUCUUUCCAGGAGGAUUGUGGGGUGGGGCUGGACUGGGAAGGUUGCGUGCCACAGAGCCUGUGCACCCUUGUGGGCGGUGUGGCUCUCCAAAGAGCAAUGGACCCAUUAUACUCAAAUAUUCCUGCUUUAGUAGGGGGAGCAGGACACCUGUUUGUGGAGCAGUGGCUCUGGCUCUCCCCCUGCUCCCAGGUGCCUGGUCCCUGGAUCCAGCUGGCUAUUGGGAGCAGGAUAUUCAGGAGAGCAGGCAGCUGGAGGAGACAGGUGGGUCCUUGCAGGAGAAGCCACAGCCUCUUGGUGAUCUGAAGAGGCUGAUUCCCAGGCAUGGGUCAUGGGGAGAGGAAUCAGCCCUGAAGGGGACAGUUUAACCUUAAAUGCUGCUGCCCUGACUAGCACCAAGCACAGGGAAAAACGCCUAUCAUCUGGACAGCAGCAAAGGGUCCCUCUCACAGGAGCCUCCCGGUUCACCAGUCAAAGCCCAGGAAGGGACUAAGGACUCCAAAAGGGCAGGAGCACCUAGGGCAGAAGGCAGCUCCAGGAAAAACUCCUGUCCAAUCUGCUGCACCUGCCUGCUUUUAUGUAUUAUUUAAUUUAAGAAAUGCAGCUGCAAACUGAGGCUGGGAUCUGCUGGAGAGUGAGCAAGGGGGAAAGAGAUGGAGCCUGUAGGGCAGGGAGGCAAUGAUUUAGGCAGGACCAUCCCUACUUGAAGACAUGGGUCCUGAUCUUCAGAGAGCUGGAGCUCAGCGCCUCUGGUAAAUCAGGUCCCUUUUCAAGUGUCUCAGCUGAACCCUGCAAAAACAGGAGCACCCCGAACAGGGAUUCUCAACCAGGGGUCCCUGGAUUAGUGCAUCAAGGCAAACUUGGUGGAGGGAUGAAGUUGAGCAUACCUCCCUUGCACAGGGAAAAGGAGGGACUUUACAGAGUGCCACUAAAUUCAGAGAAAUUAUGGAGGGGCCUGCAGCCUAUACAGGUUUAGAACCACUGGCUUAGAGUUCGAUUUAAUUUGGCUGGCAGCUCUAGACCACCAACCGCUCUGCUGCUGCUUCUGCGUUCCCUCUUACGGAGACACUGUCUGGGACUGUUUUGGAUUAUUUACUGCUACUUGUUACAUUUCUAGUGAGGACUUUCUUUGCUGUCUGGCAGGUUUCAUUAAUUUUUGAGGGAGGGUAUAACGGAGAGCCUGGGGCUCCCUGUUACUUUAAGAUAAAAGCAGCUCAGCCAGGGAGCACUGCAGGCUAGGCAGGACCCAGCAGCUGCAGGUCCCCAGGGCAAUAGACUAAUGGAGCAAUUAGCAGACACCUGCAGGUGGUCAGCUGAUCAGAGGUAGGCAGGGCUCUGGGAGCAUAUAAGCCCAAGAAUGGGGCUGGCCAGGGAAUCUCUUCUUGGCAGCUGCAGAGGAAGGGGCUCCUCCUGCCCAGGAGGGCCACCUGGGGAUGCUAUACCUGGGACUGCUUUGUUGCUUGCAGGAACAGUGAGGCUCAGGGAGCUCCCCAGGAGCCCAGGCUAGGAGGCAGGUUGUGCUAGGGAGUGAAGGUUUGCACUCUCUCUUAAAGGGACAGUGGGCUGUUAUCCCUUUAUAUUAUGUUAUAGCCUGGGGGCUUAUGUUUACAUUGUGUUUAAAGUGGUGGUGCCCAAGUGGCACAUGACUGCCUUGAGCCAUGCCAGGGACAGGCUCAAGGCCCAAGCUAUUGUUGAGCCCAGAGAGGGGCAGGGUGCAACGGCACAGCAAGACAGGGGCCAGGGACCUGGUGCUGAAAACGAGUGCAGUCACACAGGGGCCAGGGGCCCAGUACCCAAGGGGGGGCAUAACAAGAUAGGGGCCAGAGGCCUGGCACUCAAGAAAAGUGCAGUCACACUGGGGCCAGGGGCCUGGUGCCCAAGAGGGUCACAGCAAGAUAGAGACCAGGGGGCCCAGUGCUUCAGAGGAGCAAAGCCGUACAGGGGCCAGGGGCCUGGUGACCAGAGGGGAUAGAUUGAAGUUAGUGCCUCAAACCCAGGUCUGACACAGAGGGCCUAGGUUGGAAGGCCUAGCUAGAUUAAAGGGGUGGAGGCUGAGGAGUUUGAAGCUGUAACAGAAGGAACAACAUUAUAGUAAUAUCCGUGAGGCAUGGGGCAUGGUGUAGGGAAGGAUUUGGAGCCAUGCAAUCAACCCUUAAGGCUUUGGGUGCCCUGCCAGGUACAGUUGACUAUAGAGAUCCAGUGAGAGGACCAGUAGGUUGCUGAGAAACCCUAGCAGGGCUGCAGUGGAACUGGGGCCAUGCAAAGGCCCAUUGGCAACUUCCCUAUUCCCUAUUAAUCGUUACACCAUCAAGGCAUGAUGAGUGAGAUGGGAAGGCACCCUAGGGGCAGAGCGGGGCAUGGUUGCAGAGCCACCAAGGGGCAUCACAGCCACCCAUGGGACCCCAACCUUGUUAUAGACAGUUACAAUGGAAGUGAGUCUGCAAUGAAAAAUACAAUGAAAAUACUUGCUUUUUUAAAUGAAUGCCCUACUGCAGUGUUCAAUCUCCUUCCCUGAAGAAUCUCUGAAAUUGAAACUGGCUUAAUUGGUUUUGUUUUCUUCUCAAUCAAUCUAUGUAUUUAUACACCCACCAUCCUCACUGGAGCUGAACGCCAGGACUGAAUCAGAGAGAUGCAGGGCUGGAAGAGACUUAAAGAGAUCACCUACUCCAACAGGCCACCCACAUGAAGGCAAGGCCAGCUAUCUACAGUUGGCAGAUCAUGGCAUCCCCACUACUGGAUUGGGUCUACCUGUGGCUGGCUAUCUCAGAACAAGUCUUCAAGGGUCCUUUUGCUCUUUCAAAUCCCUCCUUAAAAUCAUGACUCUUGCAAGAAAUAAACUAAAGAAUGGGUGGAAGGCUCA